rnacentral:rRNA from 1 species
AUUGAACGCUGGCGGCAGGCCUAACACAUGCAAGUCGAACGGUAACAGGAAGAAGCUUGCUUCUUUGCUGACGAGUGGCGGACGGGUGAGUCAUGUCUGUGAAACUGCCUGAUGGAGGGGGAUAACUACUGGAAACGGUAGCUAAUACCGCAUAACGUCGCAAGACCAAAGAGGGGGACCUUCGGGCCUCUUGCCAUCGGCUGUGCCCAGAUGGGAUUAGCUAGUAGGUGGGGUAACGGCUCACCUAGGCGACGAUCCCUAGCUGGUCUGAGAGGAUGACCAGCCACACUGGAACUGAGACACGGUCCAGACUCCUACGGGAGGCAGCAGUGGGGAAUAUUGAACAAUGGGCGAAAGCCUGAUGCAGCCAUGCCGCGUGUAUGAAGAAGGCCUUCGGGUUGUAAAGUACUUUCAGCGGGGAGGAAGGGAGUAAAGUUAAUACCUGUGCUCAUUGACGUUACCCGCAGAAGAAGCACCGGCUAACUCCGUG